ACACGCUAGGAACAAACUCUUGGAAAAUGCAAAACUUGUAUUUUGCACUCCUUGUGGUUCAUCUAGGCUCACAAAAAAUCAGCAAUACGACACCUUGGUUAUUGAUGAGGCAGCAUACCUAAAAGAAUGUGAGUCGCUGAUCCCUCUCGCAAUUCGUGGGAUAAAACAUGUGGUGCUUAUUGGGGAUGAAAAGCAGCUACAACCAGUGGUUAAGAGCCCGAUUGCUGAAGAGGCUAAGUAUGGACGAAGCCUGUUUGAGAGAUUGAGUGAAAUUGGCCACCACAAGCUGUUACUCGAUGAGCAAUAUAGAAUGCACCCUCACAUCAGCAACUUUCCAAAUAAAACAUUUUAUAGUGGAAUGAUUAAAGAUCGCACUGAGGCUAGUGGAGUGCCCAACAUUUUUAUCGGUCAUAAUUUUGAUCAUUAUUCAUUCAUUAAUGUUAGAGAAGGUACAGAAAAACAAAUUGGUAUGAGUUUAGUAAAUGAGGCUGAAGCUGUUGUUGCAGAGACGAUCGUUGACAGACUUGCUAAAAGUACAGUCUCUUAACUUUUUGGAGGUUUAUUAAAUAUGAUUCGUUUAUGGCUGAUCCUUA